CUCUCUCUCAAGCAUAAUGGCUCAUAAUUUCAAAAUCUUUUCCUUCUGUUUCCCUCACAAUAAUUCGCAAUUACAGGAAGUUGUUGGAGGUAUCUUGUGUCAUCUUCUGAAAACUUCGCAUUCUGGAGUUUUUGUAUCAGCUAAAAUCUGCUGGACCAAAUUCUGAGAAUCAUUUUUACCCUCCUUUAUCUUUCUUCCUCUUCAGCAUCCAGGUUCUCCUGGAAUUGGGUUGUAAGAAACUGGCCUUCUAUCUUGCCUAUUGGGACAGCAAGAUCUGUGUGAAUUAUCCUCAGUAAAUAUUACUUUCACAUUUGGAUCUCCACUCAUUUCCCUUAUGACCCCUGACAGUCUUCUCCUAGGGUUUGAUUAUAAGUCACUUUAGUCUGGACUGGGCUUAAGCCUCCUAGGGCUUCGAUUAAUCCACCGCACCUAGCAUUUCUGUGACUAUAAAAGGAAAAGUUAUGAUUCUGAAUAAGCAUCGCGCGGAAGAAAGAAGCAAAAGCAUAAAGUAUUAAACUUUCAUCCAGCACCAUAGGAGAGAUGUAGUUAUUAAAUUUCAGCUGCUUAUCAAACUGAUAUGAAAGUCAUUUUGCAUGAUUGCUUUGCAUCCUCAAAUCUUCUGCUUUUAUUUGCAGUGCAUCUCUGUGCUUUCUUAUUAGAAAAAUACUCAAA